rnacentral:rRNA from 1 species
CCUACGGGUGGCAGCAGUGAGGAAUAUUGGUCAAUGGGCGGGAGCCUGAACCAGCCAAGUCGCGUGAGGGAAGACGGUCCUAUGGAUUGUAAACCUCUUUAGGCGGGGAGCAAUGCCGGGCACGCGUGCCCGGAGGGAGAGUACCCGCAGAAUAAGCAUCGGCUAACUCCGUGCCAGCAGCCGCGGUAAUACGUAGGAGGCAAGCGUUAUCCGGAAUGACUGGGCGUAAAGGGUGCGUAGGUGGUUUGACAAGUUAGUAGCGCAACUCCGGAGCUCAACUUCGGAACUACUACUAAAACUGUUGGACUUGAGUGCAGGAGGGGCAAUCGGAAUUCCUAGUGUAGCGGUGGAAUGCGUAGAUAUUAGGAGGAACACCAGUGGCGAAGGCGGAUUGCUAGACUGUAACUGACACUGAGGCACGAAAGCGUGGGGAGCAAACAGGAUUAGAUACCCUUGUAGUC